rnacentral:rRNA from 1 species
UAUGUGAUCGUCUCUCGCAUAUCAAUAAGCGGAGGAAAAGAAACUAACAAGGAUUCCCCUAGUAACGGCGAGUGAAGCGGGAAGAGCUCAAAUUUGAAAUCAAGGGUUUUACCUUUACGAAUUGUAGUUUAAAGAAGUGUUUUCUGCUUGAAGGUUUUGGUAAAAGUUCUUUGGAAUAGGACAUCAUAGAGGGUGAGAAUCCCGUAUUUGACCAUUAUUUUCAGCUUUGUGAUACACUUUCAAAGAGUCGGAUUGUUUGGGAAUGCAGCCCAAAACGGGAGGUAAAUUUCUUCUAAGGCUAAAUAUUGGCGAGAGACCGAUAGCGAACAAGUACCGUGAGGGAAAGAUGAAAAGAACUUUGAAAAGAGAGUUAAAUAGUACGUGAAAUUGUCAAAAGGGAAGCGUUUAACACCAGUGUUGUUUUCUGAAAAUCAACCUCUGUUAGCUUUAUGCAUGUUUGUUUAGACCUAAUCAGCUAUCUUGCAUGUUCUAUUGUUUGCAGUGGUGCACUUUUCAGUUUACAGGUCAACAUCAGUUUUUUUUUACCGUAAAAAAGUUAAAGAAAGGUAGCUCAUGGCUCCGGUCGUGAGUGUUAUAGUCUUUUUCCUAUGCGGUAGGAGAGACUGAGGUCUGCAGUGUAGGCUAUUUGGCUAGAUACUCAGGUGCUAUGUGAUACCAUUUCAUAAACAACUUGUUGAUUAUGUUUUGUCUAUUGCAUACUCGCUUGUACUAUCAUACCUACGCUUAGGAUGUUGAGUAGCGACAUACGCACA